GACGAACGCUGGCGGCGUGCCUAAUACAUGCAAGUAGAACGCUGAAGCUUGGUGCUUGCACCGAGCGGAUGAGUUGCGAACGGGUGAGUAACGCGUAGGUAACCUGCCUGGUAGCGGGGGAUAACUAUUGGAAACGAUAGCUAAUACCGCAUAAGAGUAGAUGUUGCAUGACAUUUGCUUAAAAGGUGCAAUUGCAUCACUACCAGAUGGACCUGCGUUGUAUUAGCUAGUUGGUGAGGUAACGGCUCACCAAGGCAACGAUACAUAGCCGACCUGAGAGGGUGAUCGGCCACACUGGGACUGAGACACGGCCCAGACUCCUACGGGAGGCAGCAGUAGGGAAUCUUCGGCAAUGGACGGAAGUCUGACCGAGCAACGCCGCGUGAGUGAAGAAGGGUUUCGGAUCGUAAAGCUCUGUUGUAAGAGAAGAACGAGUGUGAGAGUGGAAAGUUCACACUGUGACGGUAUCUUACCAGAAAGGGACGGCUAACUACGCG
rnacentral:rRNA from 1 species